GGAGUGGUAGUUCAGUUGGUUAGAAUACCGGCCUGUCACGCUGGGGGUCGCGGGUUCGAGUCCCGUCCACUCCGCCA
rnacentral:tRNA from 1 species